GGUUACUAAGGACACCCUCAGAAACCAUGCAGUUGGGCCCUGAGGCCUUGGGACAAUUGGAUUGCCAAGGGGAUCAUUCAGCUGCCAGGUGGAAGAGGGAGCAGGAGCUCUAGAGGGGCCUCCCAGCCUGAGGUGUGGAGGGUGGCAGGGAGGGCUGCGAAUGUGACUGCCUGCCUGGGCAUCCGCCAGGGCAGGGCAAGCCACGAUGAAUACUGGAAGAGCAGGUGUGUCCGCCCUCUCACUUCUCUGACAUCUGGGCUCAGCUGCCCCCAGGUUCCUGUUUCAGACAGAGGGCGCCCAGGGCAGGGGGACGAGCGAUGACCCACAAGGUUUCAGUUCUGUCCCAAGGGCCCCCCCACCUCAGUUUGGCCUCUGCUCCUUAUGGGCUUGAUGACCCCCGGGCCCUGACUUUCAGCUUCCCUUUUGGUGACUGCGGUGGGGGAGACUGUCAGGCCGCAGCACGCCUGUCAGGAAAUCAUCACUCUGGUGAGCGACCGCCAGAAUCAAGGGCCAGGAGGCCUCUGCCCUCUGCAGAGCCAGGUAAAGAGCGGAGUCCGAAUGAGGAUGGAUGCAAAGUGUUACUCAGCUCUCAGCCCACUGAGGCAGUGAGUGCCCCUCUGGAGGGAAGGGACCAUGCCCUGGAAAGUUCUGGGCAUUCAUUAACCAGGAGCAGCCUCAGGCGCUGAUGAUGAGAGCGGCAGCGGCGCACCAAACCAAUGGUGUCUCCAGGUGUCCACCAGGUGAUACAGAGCGGCAUGUGGGCUGGCCACGGGUCUAGACGGGGCAGCCUCAGAGGCCUAUCAGUGAGCAUCAAAGAUGUAAGAAAGGCUGGGCAGCAGGGGGCCCCUGGUCCAGCCGCAGGAGGGGCCCCAAUCUAUAGGGGUCCAAUAGAGUACUUCACAAACUUUGGAACUUAAAGUUUGAAGUCACUUACUAAAAACUUUGACAUGGAAAUGUUGUGCAUGAUUGCACAUGGAUAACCUCUAUCUGAUUGCUUACCAUCUCAG
rnacentral:lncRNA from 1 species